AGAACAAGAGGUCUGCUAAUUGAAAAUAAAAGAAGAAUGCUUGGCUAUACUAUCUUUAAAGGUACAAAAUAUGGGACGGAGCACGCUAAAUCUCAAACCUCCGGAGAAUCACCUUGUUAUACAGAAAUGCAAAACCGAGGAGAGUCUGCUGGCAAAAAGACAAUGUGACAGAGCUUAAUAAAACAAGAAUCAACAUUGGCUUGGCUUUUCGGAUCGACGCGUUUGUAUUACUCAGCAGGUUAACUCGUCCUUCGCUGAAAAAUGUGACAUUUCCAAAGUAUACAAGUGCAAAGCUUUUGCACUCGUAUAAUUUUCCCAUAAAAUGAGAACAUUUAAGUGUAGAGCGGUGGAAUUAUACGUCAAUGAAUGGCCCCACUAAUAGUGAUAUCACUCCCCGGAACAAAAGGAUAGGAGGCUGAGCGAGAACAGAGGAGUAGAGGGUCUGAAAUGUAGUGCUCGUUGCAGAGCCUUGGAGGUAGCGCUCAGAGCCCCUGUGCCCAGAGCCACAUCCUGUCCAAAAGCAACACUCUUGCACUUUUCUAACAUGCAGAAACAAAGCAUUUGGAAAGAACUAUUUACGUGCACAAA